UAUCAAAUAAGCGGAGGAAAAGAAACCAACCGGGAUUACCUCAGUAACGGCGAGUGAAGCGGUAAAAGCUCAAAAUUGAAAUCUUCGGAAUUGUACUUUAAGGACUUUAGAGCUAAUUCAAAAGUUCUCUGGAAUGAGACGCCUUAGAGGGUGAUAGCCCCGUUUUAUCGGCAUUAUUCUAAAGUUCCAUCGAGUCGGGUUGUUUGGGAAUGCAGCUCAAAGUGGGUGGUAAAUUCCAUCUAAAGCUAAAUAUUGGCGAGAGACCGAUAGCGAACAAGUACAGUGAUGGAAAGAUGAAAAGCACUUUGAAAAGAGAGUGAAAUAGUACGUGAAAUUGUUGAGGGGGAAGGGUAGGGUCGUCUUUAAAUAUCUGGAACGAAGUUUCUGAUAUUUUGGUGGCUCUAUCGCCCGUCUUGA
rnacentral:rRNA from 1 species